UACGUAGGGUGCGAGCGUUAAUCGGAAUUACUGGGCGUAAAGCGUGCGCAGGCGGUUUUGUAAGCCAGAUGUGAAAUCCCCGGGCUUAACCUGGGAAUGGCAUUUGGGACUGCAAGGCUGGAGUUUGGCAGAGGAGACUGGAAUUCCUGGUGUAGCAGUGAAAUGCGUAGAUAUCAGGAGGAAUACCGAUGGCGAAGGCAGGUCUCUGGGCUAUAACCGACGCUCAUGCACGAAAGCGUGGGGAGCAAACAGG
rnacentral:rRNA from 1 species